UUAAGUUAAUAAGGGCGCACGGUGGAUGCCUUGGCACUAGAAGCCGAAGAAGGACGUGACAAACGACGAAAUGCUUUGGGGAGCUGUAAGUAAGCGACGAUCCAGAGAUGUCCGAAUGGGGGAACCCACUAGCUAAUGGCUAGUACUCCUAUCUGUUAAGGAUAGGUAGAGGAAGACGCAGUGAACUGAAACAUCUAAGUAGCUGCAGGAAGAGAAAGCAAAAGCGAUUGCCUGAGUAGCGGCGAGCGAAACGGCAGGAGGGCAAACCGAAGAGUUUACUCUUCGGGGUUGUAGGACUGCAAUGUGGACUCAAAGACUAUAGAAGAAUGACAUGGGAAGGUCAGCCAAAGAGAGUGAGAGCCUCGUAUUUAAAAUAGUCUUUGUACCUAGCAGUAUCCUGAGUACGGCGAGACACGUGAAAUCUCGUCGGAAUCUGGGAGGACCAUCUCCCAACCCUAAAUACUCCCUAGUGACCGAUAGUGAACCAGUACCGUGAGGGAAAGGUGAAAAGCACCCCGGGAGGGGAGUGAAAUAGAACCUGAAACCGUGUGCCUACAACAAGUUCGAGCCCGUUAAUGGGUGAGAGCGUGCCUUUUGUAGAAUGAACCGGCGAGUUACGAUAUGAUGCGAGGUUAAGUUGAAGAGACGGAGCCGUAGGGAAACCGAGUCUGAAUAGGGCGUCUUAGUAUUAUGUCGUAGACCCGAAACCAUGUGACCUACCCAUGAGCAGGUUGAAGGUGCGGUAAAACGCACUGGAGGACCGAACCAGGGCACGUUGAAAAGUGCUUGGAUGACUUGUGGGUAGCGGAGAAAUUCCAAACGAACUUGGAGAUAGCUGGUUCUCUCCGAAAUAGCUUUAGGGCUAGCGUCGACAUUAAGAUUCUUGGAGGUAGAGCACUGUUUGGGUGAGGGGUCCAUCCCGGAUUACCAAUCUCAGAUAAACUCCGAAUGCCAAUGAAUUAUGGUCGGCAGUCAGACUGCGAGUGCUAAGAUCCGUAGUCGAAAGGGAAACAGCCCAGACCACCAGCUAAGGUCCCAAAAUAUAUGUUAAGUGGAAAAGGAUGUGGGGUUGCACAGACAACUAGGAUGUUAGCUUAGAAGCAGCUAUUCAUUCAAAGAGUGCGUAAUAGCUCACUAGUCGAGUGACCCUGCGCCGAAAAUGUACCGGGGCUAAAACAAUUUACCGAAGCUGUGGAUACCUUUAUAGGUAUGGUAGGAGAGCGUUCUAUGUGUGGAGAAGGUGUACCGUGAGGAGCGCUGGAACGCAUAGAAGUGAGAAUGCCGGUAUGAGUAGCGAAAGACAGGUGAGAAUCCUGUCCACCGUAAGACUAAGGUUUCCAGGGGAAGGCUCGUCCGCCCUGGGUUAGUCGGGACCUAAGGAGAGACCGAAAGGUGUAUCCGAUGGACAACAGGUUGAUAUUCCUGUACUAGAGUAUGUAGUGAUGGAGGGACGCAGUAGGCUAACUAAAGCAGACGAUUGGAAGUGUCUGUCUAAGCAGUGAGGUGUGAAUUGAGUUAAAUGCUUAGUUCUAUAACAUUGAGCUGUGAUGGGGAGCGAAGUUUAGUAGCGAAGUUAGUGACGUCACACUGCCAAGAAAAGCUUCUAGCGUUAAACAUACUCUACCCGUACCGCAAACCGACACAGGUAGUCGAGGCGAGUAGCCUCAGGUGAGCGAGAGAACUCUCGUUAAGGAACUCGGCAAAAUGACCCCGUAACUUCGGGAGAAGGGGUGCUGGCUUUCAGUCAGCCGCAGUGAAUAGGCCCAAGCAACUGUUUAUCAAAAACACAGCUCUCUGCUAAAUCGUAAGAUGAUGUAUAGGGGGUGACGCCUGCCCGGUGCUGGAAGGUUAAGAGGAGUGCUUAGCGUAAGCGAAGGUAUGAAUUGAAGCCCCAGUAAACGGCGGCCGUAACUAUAACGGUCCUAAGGUAGCGAAAUUCCUUGUCGGGUAAG
rnacentral:rRNA from 1 species